rnacentral:rRNA from 1 species
AUCCUACGGGGGGCAGCAGUGAGGAAUAAUGGUCAAUGGCCGGAAGGCUGAACCAGCCAAGUCGCGUGAGGGACGACUGCCCUAUGGGGUGUAAACCUCUUUUAUAAGGGAAGAAUAAAUGCUACGUGUAGCAUGAUGCCUGUACCUUAUGAAUAAGCAUCGGCUAACUCCGUGCCAGCAGCCGCGGUAAUACGGAGGAUGCGAGCGUUAUCCGGAUUUAUUGGGUUUAAAGGGUGCGUAGGCGGUCUGUUAAGUCAGCGGUAAAAUUGCGGGGCUCAACCCCGUCGAGCCGUUGAAACUGGCAG